UUCGCAAUGCCCGAAAGGGUGACGAUGCGACGCCGCGUGAGCGAAGAAGGCCCUAGGGUUGUAAAGCUCUGUCGAGGGUUAUGAAAUAUAGAUGGGUUAAUACCCCAUUUAUUUGACAAAAGCCCAAAAGGAAGCCACGGCUAACUCUGUGCCAGCAGCCGCGGUAAUACAGAGGUGGCGAGCGUUGUUCGGUAUUAUUGGGCGUAAAGAGCACGUAGGUGGAUUUGUAAGUCAGACGUGAAAGCCUUCUGUUCAACGGAAGAAUUGCAUCUGAAACUACAAACCUUGAGUGUAGGAGGGGAGAAUGGAACUUCUGGUGGAGCGGUGAAAUGCGUAGAUAUCAGAAGGAACGCCGGCGGCGAAAGCGAUUCUCUGGCCUAUUACUGACACUCAGUGUGCGAAAGCUAGGGGAGCAAACGGGAUUAGAUACCCCGGUAGUCCUAGCCGUAAACGAUGGGCACUAAGUAGAGGGGUUUU
rnacentral:rRNA from 1 species